ACUGAACGCUGGCGGCACGCCUUACACAUGCAAGUCGAACGGUAACAGGUCUUCGGAUGCUGACGAGUGGCGAACGGGUGAGUAAUACAUCGGAACGUGCCCGAUCGUGGGGGAUAACGAAGCGAAAGCUUUGCUAAUACCGCAUACGAUCUACGGAUGAAAGCAGGGGACCGCAAGGCCUUGCGCGAACGGAGCGGCCGAUGGCAGAUUAGGUAGUUGGUGGGAUAAAAGCUUACCAAGCCGACGAUCUGUAGCUGGUCUGAGAGGACGACCAGCCGCACUGGGACUGAGACACGGCCCAGACUCCUACGGGAGGCAGCAGUGGGGAAUUUUGGACAAUGGGCGAAAGCCUGAUCCAGCCAUGCCGCGUGCAGGAUGAAGGCCUUCGGGUUGUAAACUGCUUUUGUACGGAACGAAAAGACUCUGGUUAAUACCUGGGGUCCAUGACGGUACCGUAAGAAUAAGCACCGGCUAACUACGUGCCAGCCGCCGCGGUAA
rnacentral:rRNA from 1 species